rnacentral:rRNA from 1 species
GAUGAACGCUAGCUACAGGCUUAACACAUGCAAGUCGCGGGGCAGCAUGGGGGUUGCUUGCAAUCCCCGAUGGCGACCGGCGCACGGGUGAGUAACGCGUAUUCAACCUGCCCUUCACCACGGGAUAACCCGGCGAAAGUCGGACUAAUACCGUAUGUUGUCCAUUGACGGCAUCCGAUUUGGACGAAAGGCUUGGCGGUGAGGGCUGGGGAUGCGUCCGAUUAGCCGGACGGCGGGGUAACGGCCCACCGUGGCUACGAUCGGUAGGGGUUCUGAGAGGAAGGUCCCCCACACUGGAACUGAGACACGGUCCAGACUCCUACGGGAGGCAGCAGUGAGGAAUAUUGGUCAAUGGGCGUAAGCCUGAACCAGCCAAGUAGCGUGCAGGAUGACGGCCCUAUGGGUUGUAAACUGCUUUUAUGCGGGGAUAAAGUGGCCCACGUGUGGGCUUUUGCAGGUACCGCAUGAAUAAGGACCGGCUAAUUCCGUG